CAAUUUAAACAACGAAGAGUUUGAUCCUGGCUCAGGAUGAACGCUAGCGACAGGCUUAACACAUGCAAGUCGAGGGGCAGCACGGUGUAGCAAUACAUUGGUGGCGACCGGCGCACGGGUGAGUAACGCGUAUGCAACCUACCUAUCAGAGGGGAAUAACCCGGCGAAAGUCGGACUAAUACCGCAUAAAACAGGGGUUCCACAUGGAAAUA
rnacentral:rRNA from 1 species